AUACGGAGGAUCCGAGCGUUAUCCGGAUUUAUUGGGUUUAAAGGGAGCGUAGGUGGAUUGUUAAGUCAGUUGUGAAAGUUUGCGGCUCAACCGUAAAAUUGCAGUUGAAACUGGCAGUCUUGAGUACAGUAGAGGUGGGCGGAAUUCGUGGUGUAGCGGUGAAAUGCUUAGAUAUCACGAAGAACUCCGAUUGCGAAGGCAGCUCACUAGACUGUUACUGACACUGAUGCUCGAAAGUGUGGGUAUCAACAGGAUUAGAUACCCUGGUAGUCCACACAGUAAACGAUGAAUACUCGCUGUUUGCGAUAUACAGUAAGCGGCCAAGCGAAAGCAUUAAGUAUUCCACCUGGGGAGUACGCCGGCAACGGUGAAACUCAAAUGAAUUGGCGGGG
rnacentral:rRNA from 1 species